GGGUGCUUAGCUCAGUUGGGAGAGCGUCGCCCUUACAAGGCGAAGGUCGGGGGUUCGAACCCCUCAGCACCCACCA
rnacentral:tRNA from 6 species